UUUAAUUUUAGAUACUCUUACAACUUUGUCAUUUAGAAGCCAAGUGUCCACAAUGCUGAAAAUUGGGCUAAUUCUUCUUGCUUUGGUGUCAAUCAUCUUUGCUCAAUGUGAACAUGUGUCUCCUUAUUCCCCUUGCAAGAGCGGCUACAUUGCAACCGUUUGGACAUAUCAUCCAAAUAAAGGGAGGUGUUACGAGACUACUGGUUGUUACAAAAACAAGAGUGGGACCUAUACAACCAAGAAAAAAUGUGAAGAAGCAUGUAGAUAAAUUCAAUUGAAAUAAGAAAAUAAACAUAUUUGGAUCGUU